CAAGAGUUUCACUAAUUUGGUACAUGUGACAAUAAUAAACCAAUUUACCAGUUGGUGUUUGGGGUCGGAGGAUCCUGUCCAUAAUUAAGCUUCAGAAUAAUCCUUAUAUCUAUAAACUAAAUAUUAAUAAAUGAUGGUCUUUUAGAACAGGAUUCAUUAAGAAACACAUCCCAGAAAGAUACAUGUUUUGCUCAAUAUGGUAAAUGCAUAAUCUAAACCAACAUCAUAAUCUGCGGUUUGUAUGGACAGAACUCUUGAUCAAUACUUGCAUUCUUCCUUUGUGCCAGCUUUUAAAAGGGAAACAAGGGGGCCAGGAAUUAACAUGUACGAUCAUUUUUAUUUUAAGUGAGUCGCGUACAUGUAUCGUGGUGGCAUGAUUAUGAAUGCAAUUUACAUACUUUUACAUAUAACCCACAAUGCAUUAUUUAAACAACAAAGAAUGCUUAAACAAUAUAUUUACAAUAUUACUCAAAUAUUCUGAAAUAUUAAAUACACAACACUCUUCCCUGCUUAGCUAUAAACUCCAACUCAAUAUAGAAUGUAUCUCAACUUGACAUUGACAAUUCCAUUGGUCAGAGUUGACCAUGGAUAUUGCACCCUAGCUGCCUAGAUAUGUAAGCCUGGGCAGUACGAUAUGGAGAGCAAGCUCCCCCCUCUCCACACAUCUGACGAACCCAAAGGAACAGCAGGGACCAAUACAGUUUGGAUACCCACCUCCUCCAAAUCAGUAUUUAGUAGAUGAACCUUUGGAAGCAAUUACAGCCUUGAGUCUGUGUGGAUAGGUCUCUAUCAGCUUUGCAUAUCUGGACACUGCAAUUUUUUCCCCAUUCUUUACAAAACUGAUCAAGUUCUGUCAUAUUGCUAACUCUAGCCAAGAUUUCACAUAAGCUUUCAAUGAUGGCUUUCUCUUUGCCACUCUCCCAUGAAGCUGUGACUGGUGAAGCACCCAGGCAACAGUUGUUGUAUGCGGAGUCUUUCCUAUCUCAGCCACUGAAGCUUGUUAGUCUCCCAGUGUUGUCAGGCUUCUUAGUGGCCUCCCUCACUAGUCCCCUUUUUGCACAAUCACUCAGUUUUUGAGGACAGCCUGCUCUAGGCAGAUUUACAGCUGUGCCAUAUUCUUUCCAUUUCUUAACAAUUGACUAAACUACUCCAAGGGAUAUUCAGUGACUUGGAAAUUUCCUUGUAUCCAUCUCCUGACUUGUGCUUUUCAAUAACCUUUUGGAGGAGCUGCUUCAAGUGUUCUUUGGUCUUCGUGGUGUAGUUUUGGCCAGGAUACUCAUUCACCUGCAGUUGGACCUUACAGAUAAAGCUGUAUUUUUACUACAAUCAGUUGAAACACCUUGACUCUCCAUUUGGAGAUGUGGAGGUGAUCUCCAUUUAACUAAUUAUGUGACUUCUAAAACCACUUGGCUACACCAGUAAUAAUUUGGUGUGUCAUAUUAGUUGGGGUGUAUACUUAUGCAGUCAAUUACUUUGUAUUAUAUAUUGGUAUAAUUUAGAUCAAUUUGUAGAGAUCUAUUUUCACUUUGACAUGAAAGUUUUUCUGUUGAUCAGUGUCAAAAAAGUCAAAUUAAAUCAUGUGAUUCAAUGUUGAAAGCAAAAUAUGAAAACUUCCAAGGGUUAUGAAUAUUUUUAUAGGAACUGUAUAUAUGCAUACAGUUUAUACAGUAUAUGAUAUAAUACAACCAUGUGGACAUCCACAGCAUGGUAAGUUCUAAAUUGUCCCAUUAAGGUCUAAAGAUUUAAUGGCUGUGAAGGCUUUCUUACUCUUGUGACGUAAUGUCUUUCUUGACAAGGGACAUCAUUCUGUUCAGCAAAUGAGACCUGUGACUGUGAAAACAAUCUUAGGUUCUAGGGCCUCCUCCUUUAUGAGGUGAUUGUAGAAGUUGACUCUGAGACUGCAAUAAGUGGUCUGACAGUUCUGGACACCUUUGUUCUUUUCGCAGCUUUUCCCUCUGGAUUUUCUUCACACCUUGCUUCUCUCCCAUCCUGGCUUCUUUUGCUGUCUUUAUCCCCUUCUCAACGCCUUUCGUGAAUGUGCUCCCUUUCCUUAUCUUUGGUUCUGUCACGAUCCCUAUCAUGGUCUCACUCAUGGUCCCAAUCUCACUCACACUCUCACUUACAUUUUUUCUCUCUAUCUCUUGCCCUUUUCCAACUUGUCUUUUUUCUUGCCUUCCUUUUUCUUUUUUCUAAAUUGUGCAUCUAAAGUUGGGAAGGUUCAUUUAGUUCUUUGAAGUAUUCUCUUACUAAUCCUCCUGUUGCUCCCUUUAUGAUCUGAUCUCUCCACUUGAGUUUCCUCAUCCAUCACAUCAUCUGAUGAACCCUCUGUUUUCACAAUUCCAUUGACUCCUUUCUUUCUGAUCUUUCUGGGCUGUGGUCUUUGCAUCUACUUUUACAUGCAGCUUUUUUGUCUUCCACUUUAAGUUCAUGCAGUUACCUUAAUACACGCAGAGAGAUUCUGGUUCCUAAUGCUGAAAAAAACUGAAUUCUUGCAACUUUCCUGAAGCUCCUUGAACUCUCUUCCAACUUAAAACCAAACCGCAUUUCACAAUUAACUGCCUACUCAACAUAACAGAAACUUUCUCAGAUAUGUUGCCUGCAAAAACUGUUGUAGUCAUACCACUGCCUUCAUCACUUUCACAAUUUCUCUGAGCAUCAUAGUGCUUCCUUGGUCUAAUAGGCUUUCCAACCAGAGGUACAGAGGUUGACACCAACUCCUGUUUGCCUUCUGAUGGGCAGUGGUUCAUGGUGUACAGCAUGGAGGCAGUGUGGCAUCAUCCAGAACCUUUCUUAAUUCGCUUUCAGUUGACUCUAUUACAGGGGAUGAUAGCAUGCAAAUGGUGAAUGGAUCUCCAAUCAAGUUGUAGUUGGCUCAGCCACUCACAUCCUCACAAAGCUGGCCCUCCAAUUCUACCAUAUUCAAGCCCAAUGGGGCUUUCCAUUCCAGAGCAACACAGACAAAUAGCUGGAAGAACUCAGCAGGUUAGGCAGCAUUCAUGAAGGGAAAGGAACAAUCGGCGUUUUAAAAUCACAAGUGAUUCUGCAAAUCAUUAACAUGAGAACACAUGCAAAAUGCUAGAGGAACUCAGCAGGUCAGGCAAUAUCUAUGAAACUAUCUAUGAUAGUUGAUGUUUUGGGCUGAGACCCUUCUUUAGGACUGGAAAGGAAGGGGGAAGGUAACAGUAAGGGAGAGGAAGGUGGAUAGCUAGAAAUUAACUAUAGGUGAAGCCAGGUGGGUGGGAAUGGUAAAGAGCUGGAGAGGAGAGUGGACCAUAGAAGAAAGGGAAAGAGGAGGGGACCAAGAGGAAGGUGAUAGGCAAGUGAUAAGAGUCCAGAGUGGGAAAUAGAAGAGUGGAAGGGGAUGGAAUUUUUUUUUACCUGAAGGAGAAAUUGACAUUCAUGCUUCAGGUUGGAGGCAACCCAGAUGGAAUAUAAGGUGUUGCUCUUUCACCCAGAGGAUGGCUUCAUUGGCUCACAAGAGGAAACCAUAGACCAACAUGUUGGAACAGGAAUGUAAGUCGGAAUUAAAAUGUUUGGCUACUGGAAAGUUCUACUUUUGGCAGAUGGAGACAAGGUGCUCGACGAAGUGGUCACCCAAUUUAUGACAGGUCUCGCCAAUGUAGUGGAAAUUCAGAGUAACAUAUGCAAAAUACUGGAGAAACUCAGCAGUUCAGGCAGCGUCCAUGGAGGGAAAUGAACAGUUGACGUUUCGAUGAGCUCUGAGGAGACAUUGACUAUUCGCUUUCCUCUGUAAAUGCUUCCUGACCUUGAUGCUGCAUCCCUUGUGUCUCCAUUUUCCAUUCUGUUUUUCUUCCUAACAAUGCAGUUCAGUGUGUGACAUUUUAAGUACAUGUCUGAAUCCAUGGAGAUAAAAAUGUACAUUCAAUAAUGAUGCAUUUACUUUAAUGCCCUACACACUACCUCCCAUGAUAAGUGUUGAGGCUAAAAUGCCAAUUAGUUUCUGUUCUAAAUGAUGCCAGCAAAGCUUAUUUGCUGAUUCACUGGUGUUUUGGAGAAUGGGAUUGGAUAGGGGAUAGGUGACUGAACAUGUCAGCUGAUUAUUAAACUUGUCAUUAUCGAGUUCUGCUUCCGCUCCAAGUGUGGCUCUGGUUAAAUAUGACAUCCUCAAUAUUUCCGUUGGGCUAGAUCCAUUCUGAAAGAAAACAAAAAACAUUGAGAUCAAAGAAAUUUGUAACUGGGGUGGGGGGAGAGCAUGCUUACUGAGAAUUAGUGAAAUGUAAUGCAGCAGCUAUCAACAGAAAUAAAUAUACAGUGUGGUUAGUUUUGCAUUCUUUUGUCAACCUUGUGUCGUGUGAAUUAUUUUCAUCAAUAUUUUUUGUUCCUGUUCAGAUUUAUUUUAUGUUCGCACCGGAAGCAAGUGACACUCACGAACUGCUCCCAGUGUAAUCCUCGGACUGUGUUGGUUGUCAACUCAAACAUACGUAUUUCACUGUAUGUUUCGAUGUUUUGAUAUCAUCAUCAUCAUCAUGUGCUGUGUCAUAUGACAUGGAUGAUCAUGAUCUCAUGACCAUGAUUGUUCUUGGCAAUUUUUUCUACAGAAGUGGUUUGCCAUUGCCUUCUUCUGGGCAGCGUGUUCUCAAGACGGGUGACCGCAGCCAUUAUUAAUACUCCCCAGAGAUUGUCUGCCUGGCAUCAGUGGUCGCAUAACCUUCUGAUCUGCACCAGCUGCUCGUACAACCAGCCACAACCCACUGCCAUGGCUUCACAUGACCCUGAUUAGGGUGGGAGGGGGUUCUAGGCAGGUACUACACCUUGCCCUGCAGGCUAGCGGAGUGAAGGAGCGCCUUACACCUCCUUUGGUGGAGAUGUAUCUCCACCCUGCUACCCAGGUUACACGUGAUAAGUAAAAUAAAUUUUUUCUAGUAUUUAUGAAUGUCUUGAAUUUUGCACAAAUAUUCCUCUUAAAAAUGUUUCCCUGUUAAAUUAAGGAGGUAGAACAAAUUUCUGAUAUCUGGGAAAAUUGUAUUUAUGUAUCUGCCUAUGCAUGUUUGUGAAUGCACAUUGUUAACAAUUAGAAGCUGAUUUUAGAUCAUGAGCUGGGUGUAGAUCCCCUGUAUUAAGAAUGUUCAGUUAGUUUUAUACUGAGUAUCGGGCUUCAUUUAAUCUAAGUGGUCAAAGUCUGAUUGUCCUUAUUAUUAAUGGAUUAUGCAAGUAUUUUACCCCUUCAUAUUAUCUUACCUUGUUUUUGAAUUUAGAUGAAUCUAGGACAUUGGGGUUUCAAAUGACCCCUGACUCUGCUUGGUUCCUUGUCCUCUGAAAAUUCUUAAUCUGAUUCUGCUCAGUCCUACACGGAGGUGCUGCUCAGUGUACUGACAUCUUAAAUAUUUAACUCCAGAGUGCAUCUUCCUGUGGAUUGGGAUGAAACCACCCCACAGUAUUAAUUAAAAACACGGCACAGGAGAAUUUUGAAAGCACACAGGUCAGGCAUGGUCUGGAAGGGGUUAUUGUUCUAAUCAGGGCUACAAUAAUGAAGUUGGAUUUGUAUGGCCACAGAGCAAAGGCUGGGAAAUAGAAGUAGUUUCAGUAAUAUGAACAUGGUGAGCUGGAGUUGGUAAUGGGAUGAGCUCCCACUGCCAAUUAAAUUAUUAAAUGCCCCCAAUGGCGGUGCCUCAAAUAGCCUCUAACAAUCAAGUCCAGCUUCUGGCCUUCACAUGUGGCUUAAUUACCAAGCCCAGUGGAACCAUUUCUAUUGACAGGAGAAGGGGCAAUAGAAGGUUAGUGGCACCUUAAAACCAAUCACUUUGGGCAGAUAGGGAUAGUCUGCUAUGGUUGGCAGGCCAUCGAGGAGAAGGCAAACUCUGAUCUCGUAUCUCCACUGCCUUGCAGCUGUAACCACUCACGGGAAAGGCUUCAGGAGUGAACUCUGAGGGGAAGAUCUGGAGCAGGAGUCCCUAAGGCUACAUCAAGUUCAAAGAUGUUAUUGAAGGACAAGAUGGUGCUGGUGAUAUAUGGCAGCUGUCAUAUAACUGCUAGAUAUUCUACUAGAUGAUUCGGUGAACCUGACUCUUAGGUACAGCACCUUAAAGCUUACGAAGUUUGGCCAUCUUUGGAAGAGAGGGCACCAGGGUGGACUUCGAGUCAGAUUAAAGUGCCAAGGCCCGAGAGUGGAAAAUAAGCCAGUGUUCAGCCCCACUACUCUGCACCAAACAAGAUCUCUUACCUGGGCCCAUGCCAACUGCCUGCGUUUGACCCGUCUCCCUCUCUUCUUGAUACUACCAUUGGGCAGGUGCUGCGGUCGUCUUGGGUCAACUGUUUGGAAACAGUUAUUGCCCUCCAACCAUCGAGGUCUUGGACUGGUAUGGAUGGCUUUCCUCGCUUCAGUGCUGAAUUGACUCCACAUCCGGGGAGUCCACGACUUUUGGGGACUCUGCAACUCAUGCUCUCAGUAUUAUGUGUUAACUUUUUUUAUUAGUUGCACAAUUUUUCCUCUUUUCUGCAUUGGAUAGAAACAUAGAAAACCUAUAGCACAAUACAGGUCCUUUGGUGCCAAACAUGUCCAUACCUUAAAAAUUGCUAGGCUUACCUAUAGCCCUCUAUUUUUCUAAGCUCCAUGUACCUAUAUAAAAGCCUCUUAAAGACCCUACCGUAUCCACCUCCACCACCGUUGCCAGCAGCCCAUUCCACGCAGUCACCACUCUCUGAGUAAAAAACUUACUCCCCAACUCCUUAAACCUGUGUCCUCUUGUGGCAACCAUUUCAGCCCUGGGAAAAAGCCUCUGACUAUCCACACAAUCAAUGCCUCUCAUCAUCUUAUACACCUCUAUCAGGUCACCUCUCAUCCUCCGUCACUCGAAGGAGAAAAGGCUGA